rnacentral:lncRNA from 1 species
UGCACACUAUGUUUACCUAUGGUCGUUACUUUGUGAAAUAAAUCAAUUUGAUUUCCAAUUAAACUUAUUUCACAAUUCCAAAUCUUUAAGUGUAAGAAUAUUAAAUUCUUGCCACUAUUAGAAUGUGUUAGUUCUAAACUAUUAUGCAAAGAUUCCUUUUGUACAUUCCUUUGGAGAUUGUUAAAAGACAAUUCCAUGGAGAUAAAGUCUCAAUUUCAAAGUACAUUACUUUGAACAUCGUUCUUUGCAUAUAAGUUUCUAACUUACUCAUAUAUUCUUGAUAUCCAACUCCCAUUAUGGAAACUUUUCCAUAAUUGCCAUAUGACAACUCAUUGUUAAUAGAAUCAUGUCUAUUCAUAAUAAUGUCAAUAUGGUCCAACCAUUACUAUACUUCCAACUCCCAUUAUGGAAACUUUUCCAUAAUUUCCAUAUGACAACUCAUUGUUAAUAGAAUCAUGUCUAUUCAUAAUAAUGUCAAUAUGGUCCAUCCAUUACUAUACUUCCAACUAUCCAUAAGCAACCAAUCUUUGGCGAACCUUAGAUUGUCCUUGACAGUUGUUUAACCACUUUUGUCAUAUUUAGUUCUAGUCCUUUUUCCCUCUUAAUGCCUUAGGCAUUUGGAAAAUUAGAAGACAUGAAUAUUAUUACAUAUGCAAUCGACCCUAUAUCUGAAGCAUAUAGGACACGAUUCAUAAUGUCUUACAUAAAGACAUGAUACUUGAUAAGUCUUUUGCUAUAAUAUUUCUAUUUGCCAUGUUCUCACAAUUCGAACUAUGAAGAGGGAUGCCGUAAUCAUAAUCGAAUUUUGAGAAUGAAAUUAACGUUUCCAUAUAGAAUUACCUUAUGUCGAAUCUUUUCAACAUAAUAUUCUUAUAUGUCUCUGACUAAAUUUUAUUAAAAAAUAUCAAUCAAAGCUUUUAGAAUUGAAAAUUGAAGUAUAAGUUCCUCUCCCUUAAUUAUAGCAAAACAACUUUUCAACCCUGCAACUUUGCGAAUUGAAACUUUGUUUUCUAUAAUUAACAUUGCUAACUGGCAACACUUACCAUAAUAAUAAUGCUCCCACUAUCAUAAUAAUUAUUAUCUUACUAGCAUAACACUUAUCCUCCCACUAGCUUUGACAUGUAUCCAAAAUUAGCUAGACAUCUAGAAAUCAAUACUUAUUGACUUUCUUACCAAAGUUCAGAUUUCUGAUACUAGAUGCUUCGAUAAGCCUUUAUCUAAGCUUCUCAAGGUCACACACCUUUCCUUAGAUAGCUCACAUAUGUGUCUAAACUAUUUCAGAACUUACAACAAUAAGUUCCGAAUGUUUAGACCUUUUGCCAUUUCUCACAAUUCGAACUAUGAAGAGGGAUGUCGUAAUCAUAAUUGAAUUUGAGAAUGCUGUUGGAAAUAUUUUUAUGUGAUUGUCACUUGAAAUGAGUUGAGUAUUGAUUUACAUUUUCUAACAAACAUUAUCAUAUGUUGGAGUACUUGAAGCUUACUUAGAGCACUUGUUGUUGACAUGGAGCACUUGCUGAAAACUAGUUGGAUCAUCAUGAUCUCGGAUGGCACAUCUAGAUCAUAUGUGGAGCAUCAAGAUAUUGGUGGAUCAUCUAGAAUAUUGAUGGCUCAUCAGAAACAUUGUUGGCUCAUCCACAACUCUAUGGCUCAACAAGAGUUGAUGGCUCAAAAUGAAUACUAGGUGGCUCAACUCAAGUCAAUGGAUCAACAUGAUCACAUUGAUGGCUCAACAAGACUACUCAUGGCACAUCAUGUACAAUGAAGGCACGUCCAAAUGCUCAAAGGAACAUGAAUUUAGUCCAUGGUCCAUCAUGAACAUGUGGUUGUACAUCUUCAAGUUCAAGACACAGUCCAACACUCAAGAAACAACUCAACAUGAUCAACAAUACUUCUGGAAGUUGAUGACAUCUUAGAAGAAAAUUGAGCAACAUGAUUCUCAUCACAUUUUUAAUGUUGAUCAAGAAGGUUCAAGAAUUAUGCAGACUCAUAACUUGGAUGGAACCCUAAUGGAAUUGGAGUAUUCUAUCCAUUCUCUGUUAAGUAGGGCAAAGGUGUCAGCUGAUGACUAAGUCAUGAUGACGUGUCAACACCUGAUUGGUUAAGCCAUGUCAUGGGCUUUACCAAAGCCUAUAAAUAGGCCCAUUGGGAUCCAUUAUAUAGUUGCUCUUUUUUUAUCAUUCCUGCUCAUUCUGCACAAUUGCUGCUUAGACUACUCUUCAGAGAGCCAUUUGAGAGUUUUAGUGUGUUUUACAUUCAAAAACUUGUAAUUGAAUCUUCAUGAAUAUGAGACACAUUUGAAUCAUUGAUCUUAAGUCAAAAAACAUUUUUCUAUUAAUUUGAUUGAUUCACAACUCUUUAUUUUCCGCACUACUUGCCACCUGACGAUUCUGAAACUCUGUUUCAGUAUUUUCAACACUUGGACUAUUCUAGUCUAGGUUUACUAAAUUUCUUCUCAUUUCUUCAAAUGCAAAUAUCACAAUUGCUAAAUCUUUAAAGUCUAUUUAGUGAAAGCAUUUCCUCACAAUAAUUUUCAUGAAUUGGAGAGAAACCUUAUGACAGUUAGAUUUUAUUGUGUAUGUAUUCCUAUCCAUGUGAAACUGUCAUAACCAUAAUCAUAAGACAAGGUUAGUGACAAUUCCAAAAUCAUAUGGAAUGAACCUAUUCAAUCUUAAUUUCUUGCCAUCUGGAAGCACAAGGACCUACCAUUGCUUCCAGUUUGUUAUGCAAACAAUUGAGGACUCAUAGAACUCUUAUGCAUAGUCAACUUUAUCUAGAAUGGGCACAAAAUAAGAAUAUGUCAACACGAUAGAUUAUAAGCUUCAAGUCGUGUGCUAGUGAUUAACAAUAGAUUUACUCUUGAUCGGUUCUUAAAACUUUUCAAGAUCUUUAAGACUCCCACUGACCUCUUGUCAUAUAAGUUUCUCUCUGUCAAGAACAUUACUUGACAAACAAAUAUUCAAGAGUUAGUGUGAUUUCUUAUCAAGACAAACACAAUUGACAAUUGGUCUUAGUUGAUCUUUGUUUUAUCCAAAACAUUACAACUAACCAAUUUCAAAUGUACAAGAGUAAGAAAACAUUUUACUCUACAUUUGUUGAUAUGUCACUCAACAUACAAUCUUGAAGGAUGACUCUAAGAUUUGAUUUUGGAACAAAGUAUGAUUCAUCUUAAUUGAUUUAACCAUUAAGAUGAUCAUAAAACACGAUACUCAAGUACUCUCGCAUCUUUUCAGAUUGGAGAAACUUUUAUCUUUCUGUCGACUUCAUUCUUCUUAUUCGUUCUGCUAUACAUUGAGACUUUUCAAUGACUCAGAAUUAUACCUAGUCUUGUAAGCAUAACCAUAUUUACUAACUUUAGUAAAUCAUGACUUACAGUCUUAUUGUUCUUUGUGGUGGACUUGACCAGUGCACAACCAAGUGUACCCGAUCCCUUAGUCCUUCACUUGACUCACAUAUACAUGUGAACAAGGAAUUAGUCUUAAGUUCCCAAAGAUAAAAGUUCUCAUUCAUCAUACAAUACAAGUUGAAUGAUUCCAAGUUUCUGUCCAAUUGAAACUUGGGUGAUGAGAAUCUUUCCUUGUUUAGUAAAUUUAGACACUACCACAAACUAAAGAAUCAAAUCUAUAUUGCUAAAAAUACAAACAUCAAUUUUCCAUAAAUGCCAUUGUAAGGAGAUACAAGAUAAGAUAAAAAAAAUUAUUUAUUUAUAAAAUGCGGAAAAACUUUUCCUAACAAUGCAAUUACAUAUGAAAACUAUGCUAUUACAAAUUUCUAAGCAAUCUAUCAUAACUCUUAAGCAGCAGCUCAUAAAUCCAAUCAUCGAACCAUGCGAUUGAAAUCCAUCUCUUCACGAUCAGACUCAGCAUACCUUUCCUUUAAGCUUCCUUUGAUCCUACAAAACUUCAAAAUAUAACUUUACAUCAUGUAAUAAGAAUCUAUAAGUAGGAACUUAAUAGAUUUAGAUAUUAGACUUACCUGAAGCCGAGUCAAAGUUUUUGACCUCACCAUUCUUACGAUCCUUCAGGUAGACACGGCAGCUUCGCAACCAAUGCCUCUUCUCUUGGCAAUAGAAACAUAUGGAAUCUUUGGGAAUGGUACACGAGAUAAUCUUAGACUUAGCCUUUCCCUUUCCCUUGGAAAGAGAAAUCUUUUCUGGACUUCCGUUGUUUCCAUUGUCAAUGUCCAUGGAAGUUUGGGAAGUAGAUCUUCUAAUCAAAUUUGCUUUACCAGUGUGCCAAAUCAUUGCUGAUUCAGCAGCAAUUAGCAAAUAUGUAAGAUCGAUAAGGGACAUGUUGCGGUCUGUCAUAUAGUAGUCUUUAACAAACUGACUAUAUGACUUGGGAAGUGACUGAAGAACCAAGUCAACAGCCAACUUCCUCGACACAAAGACUCCUAUCACUCCCAACCUGUCAAUGUGUGACUUCGUCUCCAAGACAUGUGCACACACAGACCUUCCAUCUUGGUGUUUGCUAGCCAAUAGGGCUUGAGUAACCUUGAACUUUUCAAGUCUUUGAACUUGUGGCUUAGGGAGAAUAAUUGGAGGUGGUGGAGGAAGUGAAGUAUGAUAUUGUGGAAUAUCUGAUGGGUUUUGAGCAUUCUAACACUUCCUAAGUGUACAUGCAACCCUAAUAACCUUUAAUCUAUGUUUUCUCUAUAUACAUGCAAAUUUCUUUUUCAAGGUUAUUUCCUAACUAGCAUGGCAUGGGGAAUAUAUUAAACAUAAAAAAACUAGUAGAAAUACAUACCUUGUUGUUGCUUGGAUUUCUUCAAGACUUUGUGAGCCUAGCACCCCAAAUGUUGUGCCUCAAAUGCUUCACACAACACCACAAAACUUGGAAUAACUUGAGAGAAUACUUCUUACACUCAAAAUCGGUUAUGCCCUCUCUAGUAACCUUACUAGGUCCGAUUUCACUAGCCAAAGGGUCCCUUUUAUAGUGGUGUCACAAUUAGGGUUUUCACAUGAAUACUCUUAAUUGUCAUGACUCUUCAUUUCUCAUGACCCAUGGGUUUGUAACUCCCAUGGACUAUCCAUGGAGCUCCAAAUGGUUACAUCCAUAACCCAUAAACCAUGGAUCAUUAAUCCACCAUAAAAGAAUUAAUGAUUGCCAUAAUCAACCCUAUAUAUUUAAUUAGUCUCACUUUGAUCACCAAAUUAAUACUAGAUUAAUACUUGAUCAAAACUAAUUAAAUAAUACUAUUAUUAAUAUAUUAGAACUUAUAAUAUAUUAAUAAUCAUAAGUGCCAUAUUCUCUCAUUUAGUCUAUCCAAGUAUUGCAAUGCCAUGCAACCCAAAUGGACCAUGCCGGGUCGGGUCAAGUACAUACCAAAUAAAGUUAUGGACUUAGACACUAUAUCCAACAGUCUCCCACUUGGAUAAGUCUAAUAACUAUAUUUGCAAAUAUGACUUCAAAAUCCGACUAGCAAUCGUAGCUCUUUCAAAGUCUCUCGGAACUGAGAUGAUGAUGAUACGCCAUUUAAGAUAAGUGAUCAUAUAAUCCUCUGUUCUCAUGAUAUCAGCCGGACAAACACAUGGAACAUGGUCUUACUUAUUGUCCAGCAUUUGUUUCUCGAUCUCUGAUUUGUUUCGACAUAGAACUAAAUUGAACACAUCAAUUAGGUUCUGACCGGGCCCGGUACAUAGGUCAAAACCAAAUCAUCGAGGGGCCCAGAUAUCGCUUCUAUUUCUAGAAGGAACAGAUAAACUUCGACUGAUAUGCUUGUACUAACUACUUGUUGAAUUAUUCACAAAGGCACGUUUUAUAACAUCGAGUUACCAAUGCGUUUUCGUACAAUCAAUGAAUAACCAACUCAUAGUCAACAACUCAUAUCUCUAGGUUUGAAGAUUUAUAUGAUAUUACCGUCUCACGAUCACUCGAGAUAAAUUCCAUGAAGUGAUGCAAGUGAGCGUGGGUUGAAUCCAAUACUCAGCCCUUAUGAGUACUCAUGAAUGUUGUAGCAACCAUUGCAUUGUCUAAAGCACUUUAGACAAAUCAUACAAGCCAAAUUCAUGACAGUCUUGAUUCAUAUCUACUUCCAACAUAUGACUGACUGUGGAUGGUUUGAAUAAUAUGAUAUAUACCAUAACAUAAUUAUUCUGGAAGUCAAAACAUGCAAAGUGAAACACAAGAAUAAUACUAAUCUUAUAUGGCCCCAACACUUUGAGUGUAAAUAAAACACCUUUUAUUUAAGCACCAUAUUGAUUACUCAUUAUUUAUGUUUCGAUUAAUCAACUUUAUGCUUGAAUUAAAACAUUAGUUGUCCCAUGCUCCAAGCAUGUACACUAUGGUUUUCCAAACAACAAUUAUGCCAUACUCCAAGUAUGCAUACUAUGAGUACAUAUGGUCCUCUCUUUGUGAAAUAGAUCAAUUAACAAUAUUCCAAUGAUGCUCAUUUCAUAAUUCCAAUCCUUGUUGUAAAUGCAAGAAUACCAAACUCUUGCCAUUUACUGUAAUCUGUUAGAUUCUAAACUUAUAUGCAAUGAUCCCCUUGUAAUGACUAUGCACAGAAGUCACAAAGACUUGGCAACAGACAUUAGCAAGCAUUCCAAUGGAAAACAAUUCCAUGGAAAUGAAGUCUCAAAUUCAAAGUGCAUUCCUUUGAACAUCCUUCUUAGCAUUAAGUUCUUUAAUCUUACACAGAUUCAAAGAAUAACUUCCACCUAUGGAGACAAUUCCAUAUUACCAUUUUUUACCAUCACUUAUGAACAAGAUUUGCCUGUUUUCAAAAUAU